ensembl:snRNA Gm25362 predicted gene, 25362
GAGUGUUCACUUGACUGCACUUAUACUAAGACUGGAAGACUACACAGGUUAUCAUGGUCCCUACACAACGAUGACACACAAAUCUAUGAAGUAAUCCAUAUUUUU